GUGAAUCAUCAAAUUUUUGAACGCAAAUUGCACUCUCUUCGGGGAGUAAGCGUGUGUGAGGGUCAGGCUAAAAAAAUCGAAAUCCGGGCUGGUUCCCGGCGGCCUUCGUCAGGAAUUGGGUUAUCUUAAUUCUACGGUUGAAGCGGCUUAAAAUUUUCUUUACGAUUCCUUGAACGGUGAUAAGAUUUAUUUCGUUA
rnacentral:misc_RNA from 1 species